CCGAGCUGCGCUCUCGUGGGGCGGGCGCUGCUGCCGGGCGUCGCGGCGCUGGUGCUGGUGCGGCUGCGGGCGGAACAGGGAUGCCGUCCGCGGGGCGGCGGGCGGCACUCCGGCGUGGAGCUGAGGGCGAACGCGGCCGGUUUCUCAAUAUGCAGUCUGCACUGGUUUAAUAUGUGACAAGGAGACAAGCAAUCCAUUGAAAAUGGCAGUGGAUAAGAUGCAGAUAAGCAAGAAAGAGAAAUUAAGGAUGAAAAGACAGAGCAGUUUGUGAAAAUUCAGAUUUUGCACUUCAGAAUAAUACCAUAAAGACUCAUCACUUUAAUCAGUUAUUGAUUACACCGUGGGGACAUUCUACAGAUUCCACUCAAUGCUACUUUUAAAAUGGUCGUGAGCUGAGUUCAGACUGAGUAACUGGAGUGCCUCUGUUAAAAAGUCACUAAUACGGACAAGACGUCAUUAACCAGACAUCAACAUAAGAAAAAGGCUCCAUGCUUUGCAGAGCUACUGAGACAAGAAAUAAAAAAACUAAACAACUUAAGUAGAAGAUUUCUCAGUACACUGAAUAGGUAAGUAUCAUAAGAUAGAUGUUCUCUGUAAAUAAUAUUUGCCACAGAUUUUGUAAGGUGGAAAAUAAGACUGUGGCAAAGCUAUGUGCAAGUUGAAAGCACUACUGCCACACCAAGAUAUAUAGCAUACAUCAAAUUCAGGUUCCUACCUCCUGCACUGGUUCUAAUGCCACGGAGACAGUUUUCACUUUAGUGCCUGGUAGUGUAUAAUUCACUGCACAUAGCAGAAUGGAAUUUGGCCUCAUGUAGGGAAAUAUAGUAUUUGGCUAGGGAAUUUACAGAGGUAAACAAAUAUGCCAACAUAAGCUCUGUCACCAACAAAUGCAAACCAAAAUUUUGGGGGUCUCAUUUUCUCUUUAUCAUUGAGAUGGCCCAGAGUACUGUUUGUAGACGUGUACAAAUUCAACUGAAGAUGAAAAGAUGUUUGAAACUAAAAACAAACCUUAAGAAAUAAGCACAAGGUACAUUCUGUACGGAACGCUUCUUGGAAAGAACAAAUAAUUAACUUUCACAGUUAAAUGAAUUCAACAAUAGUCAUUACAAUAGAAAGUCUUUCCAAUUUUAAAGCUUCGUUAUUCAUAAUCUUCUUUAUUCUACUCAUUAUAAGUGGUUUUUAUUUUAAUCACACAAUUCACUUACACAAUCAGCAAGUCAUUUUUUAUUGCAGUACCUCCUACCUAGCAAAACACAUGCAAAUACAGAUAAUGCUUUUUACUACAAUUAAUAUUUAAGAAUCUACACAAGAAUCUCACAAAAAAACUGUGCUGAUAGUUCCUGAAAAUACAAUAUCUUAAAGCUUGUAUGUCUUCAAAAUCUAUUAAAUAAGAUCUUACCCAAGGCCUCACAAAACAUUUCUUUAAAAUAAAGAAAGAAAAGCCAGCUUUUGUUAGCUGGCUUCACCAAAAUAGAGAUACAGAGCUACAGACUGUGGUAAGGUCUUGGAUCUCUCAGAUCCAAAGAUUUCUAGCUUCACCUAUUACAAAAUGAUGAGCUUCAAAUGGGCACUUGCCUUAAAGAGGAGCAACUGUUCUCUUAAUGUUACCCAGCUGCAGGACAACUAUGGCAAGUCAGCAUGCUGCCUGGCUGCUGCACCUGAAUGCAAGAACUGCCACCUGCCUUUAGGCAAAGUUACUGUUCCUACACUCGCACGUAUUGCCCAGUUUAUCAGCAAGUGUUUUAAUAAACUAUUGCACAGGGGACAUAUGCACUGAGGUCUUCACAGGUAGCAUCAAAAUCUUAAAAAGCUUAAUGCCUUCCUGCUGAUUCUUCAUCAAGAAGAAAUUCAAAUCUACAAAGCAAAAAUUGCAUAAGAUAAACUAUAAACAAUAAAUGUAAAUACUUAAUGUAAAUGUAUAGGAAAAUAGUUAAUUCUAUUUACUUAUCUUUAUUAAAAUCCAUAGUAAAAAGAAGUGAUAUUUAUGUGGGUGAUGUUCUUGAAGAAAAACUGCUUUUCAAAGAACAGUGCUCAUUUAAAGUCUACAGUUUUCUGUGUUUGUCUCAACUUUCAAUACGAACGCAAGCCAAAACCUUUUACAUAUAAAAAGCUGGAAAAGCAUCACGUGGAAGAAUAUGAAAUACCCUUUAUUUUUGUUUCUCUGAUAGGCCACAAUUAGAGUGGGAUGUGUUUAAUCAAACAGAAGAUUAGGAGAAUUUUAAGAGUGAUGCCAGAUGUUUUCAGGCCACACUUGAAAAAGAUAAAGACCUGCACUGAGUCCAUAAUAUUAGAAUAAAAAAAUCACAUAAAAACAGGAACACCUGCAGUCUCCCAAAGAGAUAUCUUUUCAAUUUCAAUUAUAUAAAUUCAGCAUUGUUCAAGUAAAACAAGUGUUUCACUAGUGACUUUUGGUAUUGUUAUGUAUUUUCUGGCUUUUCUAGAACAGCAAGAAAAAUGAGUUUGCCAGAAUAUUGUAAUCAGUACCAUUCUAUCAAGCCACAACGAAUGAAAAAAAAAAAAAACAAAAACCCUGUCUCCUGCAAUAUCUGAAAAUCCAAGUCAGUAUCAAGCAUGAAUGAAACAUGCAUGAUUACCUAGCAAAACCACAUAGUCUUGUUGAUAGCUUGUUCUUUUUCCUAAUUCCCUGCCUUCUUCUGGGCAGUGCUAGGUCUCUUGUCCUUAUCAAGAACAAGGCCACCCAACAGUCUAAAUUUGGAUACAUAAGUCUGCAUUUCAGGAAACUAAAAAUAAGUUGGUUUUUUUUUUUUUUUUUUUUUUUUUUUUAAAAGAGAUAAUGAUGAUUCUUUGCACCUUAGUGUAAGCCAACUGUUUCAGGUACUUCAGUAAGUAGAGGCAUGCCCAAUGCUUAACAGCUUAAAGAUGUUGACUCAACUAAUAGCUGGAAUCUUUCAGUGCCUGAUGUAAAUAGCUACAAAGAAAUAGCAGUAAUGCCAAAACUGCAGGUGGCUGUGGCAUCUUGAGUUUAGUUAUUUUCUUCUAGAAAUAGAGCCUGAAGCACAGGCAGCAGGAGCCAUCCAAGCAGCUGAAAAUCCUUCCUGACAACCAGCUUGCAGCUUCCAGCUUCCAAUUACUUGCUCAGAAAGUUUGAGAUGCCAUCUUCACUACAAAGGUGACAUUCUCAAGGUUACAAAAAUGAAAGUUAACACACUCCAGAGUGGAAUACUCAGCCAACUUUAAAUGAAAUUAUUUAUUGCAUUUAAUACUAUUAUUACAUAUUUAUUUCCAGAAGUUUAGGACUGUUAUUAAACCUAUGCAAUUUGGAUGAUGAAGCAUGCCGUGUCUUGGCAGAUACCUGGAAAUUCCUAUCAGAUACGCUCACAACAAUAAACAAUGUUCCUACACACAAGCUGCUGCUACUGUUCAGCCCUGUUCAAAAUUACUGGCUGCAUCAAGAAAGAAAGAAAGAUGUCUCUUAAGCAGUACUGCUCUUAAGUGGCCACAGCUACUGAAUUUGGUCCCUUUUCAUUGAGGAAAUUGAUUUACUACAUUGACUCACUAACCCUCCCAGUGAGGUUACAUAAAAACUUCUCAUAUUCCUUAGAUAUGAAAAAAUGAGCCUAAAGUUACUAAAUGCAGAUGAAUCCAGUCACAUCUGCAAAUGCUAUUGAAAUCCUAAGGGAAAAAAGAGAAAAGUAACCAUCUCUCUCACUCUCUCUCUACCUCUCUUUCUCCAUGCCCUCAACAAUUUUCUUUGUUUUUCAACUUAGUGAACAAAGUCACUAAGUUUAAUAAAUUUAAUACAGUAAUGCUCUCUUUCAGAUGAGAACAGGUUUACCUUAAGAGUUUUUACGGAGGACUGUGGCACUGAGGAGGGAGGAAUCAUUCUCUCCACUGAUGCUUAAGCUGUUUUGAAAAGCAGGGACAUUUUAAAACACAUCUCUGGAUUCUACUUUACACCUCAUCUCUAAGAUAAGUUUAACUGCAGUUUAAAUUGACAAAGCAAUUUUCAUUGAAGUACUCUGAAGUCAUGCCUUGGAUACUGUACUUCUGAAAUUCAUAGCAGAUCACUGUAGUCUGCAAUCAGCAUUAACUGAUAAUUUGAAAAACUUGUCAGGAAUUCACUGCUUCCAUGGGGGUUGAAUAUGCUAGAUCCAACAUUUUAUUUUGCAGAGUGUAUUCUCAAGACGUUUUGGCCAUGCUACUAUACAAUUCAGAAGAAACACGGACAAGAUAACUGCACAACAGAAUCAAGCAGUGAUGGAAGAACCUUUGCCAGCAAAACCUGCAAGUAAAUAGAGCACAUUUCAAAUCACGUCUUGGAGCAAAUACCCUCUUCAAAUGUUAGCAGCAGUUAGCACAAUAGACUUUUGUUGUUUACAGCAAUAAAUGAGGUGCUGUUCAGCUUGCUUCAGAAGGCUUCUGAAGGACAUACAAUCAACCCCUGCACCACAAAUCAUUCCAGGUUCUCUUGCAGGUUUUGUUCAGAGACAAAUGGUUGAGUCACUCUGUCAGAGUAAGUGUCUGCACUUGUGGAGCAUACAGUAGGAUAAAAAGGUCAAAACCAGCACAUAAAUACACACAACACAGACAGCUAAUUGCAGAUAUAAUAAAUAAAAACCCCUCAUAGUCAGUGUCCUCUAGCACAUACAUUUAUUUAGCAUAUACUACAAGACACUUUCUACUGUAUAUUUUCAGCUGACAUAAGUGAUAAUUUUUAAAUAAGUGAUCAAUAGAAGCCAACGUAACAGAAAAAAAUCUUCAAGAUCACAAAAAAUUAUCCAUAACAGACUGAGCACACAUGGGGCAGUCUCAAAUAGCUGUUUCUCUAAUGUGACAGGAGCCUGCCUAGUUUUUUAGAAUUCUUAACACAGCAUGAAAUCUAAUGGCUUCAGAAUAGGGAAAACUUCUGAAAAAGUUAAAAUUAAUGAGACAGUAAAUAAAGCUAUAUGAAUAGAGUACAACCAUUUCCUGUACAAUGCCAGUGCAGCCAAAUGAGCCAGGGCCAUCUGGCAUAAACAGACACAAGUAGCAUCCAGUGUCUGAGACAAUAUUUCUGUGAUGCUCUCAAAACAAUAAUGAUUUGCAUACUCUUCCACUUGAUGAAAAAUGGAUGGAGAACUUCUGACACUAGUUUGACAAUUUGGAGAGCUAUUACACAUAUAUUCAGAUAUAAGGAAAAGCAAACAUUCAGGUACAAAAUUACUGACACUAAAAAGAACUGAGAAAAAAUGUGUUUAAUAAAAGAAAAUCGUCUAUAUGUAGUCUAAAAUGCAGUCUGUAAGAAAUAGCAAGAAGCAGCCACCUUCAGCUGCUCUCUACUUCAUCCAAAUGUACUGCUAUUAGAAAGGCCAAACUCAAAGCACCACAGAUUUAUUGGCUCUCUCCGAUUGUUCCAAAUAUUACCUCUCCCCCAGAUGCAGGGGUUUAUUUUGCAAUUCCCAUCUGAUACAUGAGUUCUACUCAAUAACUGCCUUGGGAGUCUACCAAUUUGAGGAUUAAUGUUGUAUCUUCCUGUGCAGGUCUCGAGAAGCAGGAAGUCUGAGUGACAAAUUAGAGCUUUUCUCCAAAGAGCUGAAUUUAUGAUGCAUACUCAUGAGGCAGUUUCACUUAUUGCAAGACAUCCAUUGCAAUCUAAAUACUCAUUUGUAUUUCACACUGCACAGUGAUUUUCAUGCAUUUGCAAGAUCAGAACCAAAUAAAAACCAAGCUUUGAAACCUAGCCAGCAUUGGAUUAUAGUAUAUUAUGCAAACAAUUGUAGCAGUCAACCUUUAUAGCUUUUUGGUAAUGAUUCCUCCAGAUCUCUUGGUUAUUACUAUCUAGUGUUUUUCAGUAGCUCAUGAACUGCAAGAAAGAUUAAAAAUCUUUCCAAAGGGUCAGAAAGGCCUUAUGAGUGGGAAUGCUUCUAUUAAUUCAUCCAUUCAGGAGGCUAGUCAAAAUCCCUUUUGUUUAUGUUGCUUGAGAACAGUAGCAAGGGAAAUAUUAAAGCAUUUUGAGAUCUGUGACAGCCAACUUCACAAGUGUUUAUUGCUGGAGGACUGCAAGGAACGAGACAUGGUUCUCAUAAGAAAGAAAUGAAAUAAAGAAAUCAACAGCAAGCUUGGCUUCUAUUUUCUGAGGAUGCUAUUGGAUGCUGAUAAGGGAGAAACAUUAAAAACAUUUAGAAAUGUAUUAUUUAUGAAGAGGCUGUCAUUAGGAAUUUAUCAAAGGAAGAUUAAGGCUCACAAAUUUGUCUGAAUUCUCUUUGCUGAAUCGGGAGAUAUAAAGACAGAGGAAAUGAUUUAUUCCAUUUCAAAUUUGAUACUUUAAUAUCCAAGAUUUUGAUUUGCAGCUUUGCAGUCAGAAAACACAGUUGCAGGAGAACAGCAUUCAUCAACAGAAUAACAGAGGACCAAACAAAGCUCCUACUUGAACUGUGGAAAACUGAAGAGAUCUCCUUUAGUAUCUUUAUGAACAGGACUGCAAUUACAUGGUGGUCAGCAAUUCCCACAGCUUAAAGCAAUUAUUAAAACCACUUGAGCCCUGAGGUUCACAUGGUUUCUAAGUCCCAGUACAGCAGACACGGUAGAAACCAGGAAUGCAAGUUUUCUUGUGUGUGAAGUACCAGGCAAAAAAGUUAAGCUUAUUCAACAUCUUUCAAAAGACCUUUAAGGACAUUUAACUAGUAGUUUGACACCAGCGUAUCCUCUUCCAAGGGCUAGAAGAGAAUUGAGACCCAAGUUUUGGCCAAUAACCAGCUAUGCCAUGUUACUCAAGAGCAGAAGAGGCAAAGGCAUGGAAGAUGCAUCAGGGGCAUAUACUCCUGACUUUUAAGAACAAAUAAAGCCCUUAAGUAUCCUCCCUCAAACCACAACAAUAAUGAGCUUGUGGAAUAAGAAUAGCUCCAAAGCCCUUCACCUUACUAUCCGCUAACAUGGAGAAUUAAUACCCAGAGGUCACAGACAAAAACUGGAAAACUGAGUGACAAAAUAUACAAGAUGUUUUUCUAGAUAACUUGACUGAAAAAUUCCCACCCAAUUGAAAGAAUGUAUUUUAUGAAGCAGAAGCACUGGAAGCAUACACUGGAAGUGUAUGGAAGAAAUAAAUUUAAUGCUAGAAACAGACCUAUUUCAAUUCUAGUAACACAUGAUCAUCAAACACCCAAAUUCUCAAUUAUUUAGUAUCCACUUCUGAUCCCAAGGCAAAGUAUUACAUUCAACACUUUUAGAUCCCCUGCCAAGAAAAAAAAUAUGAAAAUAUGAUACUUUUUAUUAAAUUAAAAUAGAACUGUAGCAGGCAAAUGGUACCAUUUCCCAGAAGCUUAUAAAAAAAUGGAAGACUGAGUUUUCAGGAUAUUUUUGUUCUCCCAUAGUGUGUGAAGAAGUCUGAGUCAAACUACUGCACAUUUAAAAUAGUGUCAUAAAAAGAUAUGUAGAACAUAUCUGAAUAUUUAAAUUCUUACGUAUUCCAGAGUUAGAUUCCACAUGCAUUUAAUGGAGGUAGACAAUACCUAGAAGAAUUCAGAGGGCUGAGGUAGGAAUACACAAUCGUAACUUCCCCUUCAUUUUGAAGGAAAGUGUUUUGAUAAACCUGAGUUUUCUAAGCCACAGCGCAGUCUCAAUUUAACAUCUGAAACAAAAGUUUAGAUCUGCAGCCCAACACUCCUAGUUUAACAAGCCCGAGAUAUUACAGUAUAUCAAGCUCAUAAAUUUUCUGUACAAACGAAUGAGUCAUUACCAGUGACUGAAUACAGAAAGCAAGUGCUAGCUUUUAGACAAAGGUUUCACUGCCUCUCAAACAGCUGUCAAAAUAUCAAAGCCAGCUCAACAAAUAUCUUUAUCGUGCCAGAUUAGAGUUGAAAUGUAGGUCUAUACAGAAAUAAAGCAGGUCACAUUCUGCCAUGCAUAUUAUCACUUGAUAAUCUCUCAUCAGAUGUUCACAUCUCUCCUUUUCUGAGUACUGCUAUGAAUUAUAGAAAAUGAAUUAUAGAUUUUGUUCUGACAAAACUAUUAAGAUGAUGAAAUGGCAGUCAGGCUAUUUCACUACCUUGUCUGAAACUUGAAACAACAAAAAAUACACGUAGAAAAACCUUGAUUUCAGGAGUUAGGUUUUGAAAUGGACUACCUCUAGUUUUAAGUACAUCUUUAAAUCCUUAUUUUGACAUACUAACUACUUGCAGGAGAAGUGAAUGCCAAGAAAACAACAAUAACUAAAUUACUGUUGAAAAGGGGAACAUUACUUACACUGCUGUCUUAGCAAGUUCUGAUUCAAAUUCACAGCUUUUUUUUUUUUUAAUAAGAAAAAAGAAACAGAAAUGAAAGACCUUAAAACCACAACUCAGACCUAUGAGAGAAUAGGGAAAGCUUUAGGUUUAUCACCUGCUGUAUUAGGCAGAACCCAAACUAAUCCCACUGAUAAACAGAUGAAUUUGUUCCUCACAAACUGGGAACUGCUUGACUGGGUGCUGAAAAAAAGCAGCCUUCUCUGAAAGCAACCACCAACUCCACCUUUUUUUUUUUUCCCCUGAAAGUAGUGAAAAAUCAUUUGAUUGUACCUUUUAGAUGAACACAUUUCCAAUGAUAUGUGUACAGAUUAAUUUGGUUACACUGACAACUUCUUACGCAUUUAUGUCAUGUCACAGCUCAGCCACUAAAGCCAUUACAGCAGCUGCUGCUAUUUACACAACACAGUGUUCUUUUCCACCAUCCUGAAUGCCUGAGUUUCCAUUACACAGACAAUUCAGUGAGGUGGGAAUGUGCACGAAGCCAGCCUUGUUCACACAGUAUAGUUUUUCAAAUGCACCUUUUACACAGGACAUAUAUAGCUAAAACAACUUUUAAGGAGCAAUUAGAUGCAAAGCUUGAUUACCUAACGGUGUAUCUCAAACCUCCAGAACUCCCAACAGUCUAGUCAUUAUGAGUCACUCUUCAAUGCAUUAGCUCUAAAUGAGCCAGAUGUGUUGAAAUAUUUAAGUCCUAGGUAAGCUCUGGGGAUUUUAGAGAGAUUCUCCUAUUGCUAAUGCAUGUGCAUCUCUUGCUAAAGAGAAACACAGCUAGGUGCACACACUAAAGGCACAAGAGUUUCUACAUAAUGCCUUAAAAUGCAGCACAAUUUCUGUUGUAUGCAUGUUUCUUUUCAGAGUAAUAAAUUGAAAAGUAAACAAAUUAUUUAGUCUAUUCUUGAAAUAAAUUUUUACAGUCUGUUAGGGCAUUUUCUCAUUAGUAAGUUUAUAAGUACAUCAAGCUUUAGAAUACAUAAGAUGUGAUACACAACUAAAAAAAAAAAAACAA